UUUAUUGAGAGUUUGAUCCUGGCUCAGGACGAACGCUGGCGGCGUGCCUAACACAUGCAAGUCGAGCGAUGAAGCUUCUUCGGAAGUGGAUUAGCGGCGGACGGGUG
rnacentral:rRNA from 2 species